rnacentral:rRNA from 1 species
AUUGAACGCUGGCGGCAUGCUUUACACAUGCAAGUCGAACGGUAACAGGCCUUCGGCUGCUGACGAGUGGCGAACGGGUGCGUAAUGCAUCGGAACGUACCCAGAGCUGGGGGAUAACGCAGCGAAAGCUGUGUUAAUACCGCAUGUGAUCUGAGGAUGAACGCGGGGGACCGCGCAGCAAUGUUUGGCCUGGCGCCUUUGUAGCGGCCGAUGUCGGAUUAGCUAGUUGGGGGGGUAACUGCCUACCAAGGCGACGAUCCGUAGCUGGUCUGAGAGGACGACCAGCCACACUGGGACUGAGACACGGCCCAGACUCCUACGGGAGGCAGCAGUGGGGAAUUUUGGACAAUGGGCGCAAGCCUGAUCCAGCAAUGCCGCGUGCGGGAAGAAGGCCUUCGGGUUGUAAACCGCUUUUGGCAGGAACGAAACGGUGUCCGCUAAUACCGGGCGCUAAUGACGGUACCUGCAGAAUAAGCACCGGCUAACUACGUG